rnacentral:rRNA from 1 species
GCAAGUCGAGCGAGAAAGCACUUCGGUGCGAGUACAGCGGCGGACGGGUGAGUAACGCGUAGGAAUCUACCUGGUAGUGGGGGACAACUUGUGGAAACGCAAGCUAAUACCGCAUACGCCCUACGGGGGAAAGCGGGGGAUCUUCGGACCUCGUGCUAUCAGAUGAGCCUGCGUUGGAUUAGCUUGUUGGUGGGGUAAAAGCUCACCAAGGCGACGAUCCAUAGCUGGUCUGAGAGGAUGAUC